rnacentral:rRNA from 1 species
UUGCACCAAUGGGCGGAAGCUCUGAUGCAGCAACGCCGCGUGCGGGAUGACGGCCUUCGGGUUGUAAACCGCUUUCGCCUGUGACGAAGCGUGAGUGACGGUAAUGGGUAAAGAAGCACCGGCUAACUACGUGCCAGCAGCCGCGGGUAAUA